rnacentral:rRNA from 1 species
ACAGAGACUGCAAGCGUUAUUCGGAUUCACUGGGCGUAAAGGGUGCGCAGGCGGCCGUGUGUGUGAGGCGUGAAAGCCCGGGGCUUAACCCCGGAAUUGCACCUCAAACUACAUGGCUAGAGCAUUGGAGAGGGUAGCGGAAUUCACGGUGUAGCAGUGAAAUGCGUAGAUAUCGUGAGGAACACCAGAGGCGAAGGCGGCUACCUGGACAAUUGCUGACGCUCAGGCACGAAAGCGUGGGGAGCAAAAGGGAUUAGAUACCCCUGUAGUCCACGCCCUAAACGGUGCACACUAGGUCUUGGUGGAUUCGACCCCACCAGGGCCCAAGCUAACGCGUUAAGUGUGCCGCCUGAGGACUACGGCCGCAAGGCUA